AGCUUUGCACAUUGGCAGUAUUGUAGCCAAUGAGAUUUAUGUAAGGCAUGAUUAUUGCUAACAAAAAGCUUAUAUUAGAAAGAAAAAGUAUCUGUAAUAAAUCAUCUAUACUUCCAUCUCAAGAAGUUGCCAGCCUGGGCAA
rnacentral:snRNA from 1 species